rnacentral:rRNA from 1 species
AUUGAACGCUGGCGGCAUGCCUAACACAUGCAAGUCGAACGCGUGGCGGACGGGUGUGUUAUGUCUGGGAAACUGCCUGCUGGAGGGGGAUAACUACUGGACACGGUAGCUAAUACCGCAUACCAUCAGAUGUGCCCCGAUGGGAUUAGCUAGUUGGUGGGGUAACGGCUCACCAAGGCGACGAGCCCUAGCUGGUCUGAGAGGAUGACCAGCCACACUGGAACUGAGACACGGUCCAGACUCCUACGGGAGGCAGCAGUGGGGAAUAUUGCACAAUGGGCGCAAGCCUGAUGCAGCCAUGCCGCGUGUAUGAAGAAGGCCUUCGGGUUGUAAAGUACUUGCAGCGGGGAGGCGUUACCCGCAGAAGAAGCACCGGCUAAAUCCGUGCCAGCAGCCGCGGUAAUUC